UACGUAGGGUGCAAGCGUUGUCCGGAAUUAUUGGGCGUAAAGAGCUCGUAGGCGGUCUGUCACGUCGGCUGUGAAAACCGGAGGCUCAACCUCCGGCCUGCAGUCGAUACGGGCAGACUAGAGUUCGGUAGGGGAGACUGGAAUUCCUGGUGUAGCGGUGAAAUGCGCAGAUAUCAGGAGGAACACCGGUGGCGAAGGCGGGUCUCUGGGCCGAAACUGACGCUGAGGAGCGAAAGCAUGGGGAGCGAACAGG
rnacentral:rRNA from 1 species